AAAAGAAUUGUGCUUGUUGAUUUGAGCGUAUACCAUUUGAUGUUGUUUUAUAGGGAUUACAAGAAGUAUCUGGAUGAAGAACAAACUCUUCAAACCAAGGAGAAGUAUUUGGAUGAAGAACAAACUCUUCAAACCAAAUUUACAGAUAAUACAAAAGAUAAAUAACCUAUUUUAUAUUCGAAAUACUUGCAACAGAUAAGGCUUAUCUCAACCUUCCUUUGGACUAAUCUGAUUGUGAUCUUCAGUAAGUGUUGUGGCGGGAACCUUUGAAUUCGGACUUGGUUUAUCA
rnacentral:lncRNA from 1 species